UAUUUUAAUAACGUCUUAAAAGGCACCCAAGUCUUUAAAGAGUUUUGCUCUGUUGUCUAUCGCAAACCCUAGGUCAUGGCUGGGAUGUACAAUCAAGACGGCGGCGGAGGUGCGCCUAUCCCGUCGUACGGUGGUGAUGGAUACGGCGGAGGUGGAGGUUACGGAGGCGGUGAUUCUGGUUAUGGAGGACGCAGUUCCUCUGGCGGAGGGGGUUACGGCGGACGCGGUGGUUACGGUGGCGGCGGCGGUAGAGGAAAUCGAGGUGGCGGAUAUCAAGGAGGUGAUCGCGGUGGAAGAGGAAGCGGAGGAGGCGGCAGAGGUGGUGGAGGAAGAGAUGGUGGCGGUAAGGAUGGAGAUUGGCGUUGUCCCAACCCUAGCUGUGGGAACGUGAACUUUGCAAGGAGAGUUGAAUGUAACAAGUGUGGUGCACCUGCUCCUUCUGGUGCUGGUGCUGGUGCUGGUGAUCGUGGAGGUGGUGGAUAUAGCCGAGGUGGAGGUGCCAGUGAUCGUGGCGGUGCUCGUGGAGGUAGAAAUGAUAGUGGUAGGAGCUAUGAGAGUAGUAGAUAUGAUGGUGGAAGUAGGGUUGGCGGUAGCUAUGGUACUGGUAGUCAACAGAGGGAUAAUGGUUCGUAUGGUCAGGCUCCUCCUCCUCCUGCAGCUAUUCCUUCCUAUGAUGGUUCCGGAACUUAUCCUCCACCCUCGGGGUAUGGAAUGGAAGCAGUUCCCCCGCCUUCAAGCUAUUCUGGGGGCCCCCCUUCAUAUGGUGGUCCAAGAGGGGGUUAUGGUAGUGAUGCACCAAGCCCUGGUGGUCGCGGUGGUAGGGCUGGUGGCUAUGAUGGUAGUAGUGCUCCUAGGAGACAGGAAUCUAGUUAUGAAGAUGCUGCUGCCGAAAAUCGCACCCAAGUCAAGCAAUGUGAUGCGGAUUGUGAUGAUACUUGUGAUAAUGCUAGAAUAUACAUCUCUAAUUUACCUCCAAAUGUGACUACUGAUGAACUCAAGGAUCUCUUUGGUGGCAUUGGCCAAGUUGGAAGAAUUAAGCAGAAGCGGGGUUAUAAAGAUCAGUGGCCCUAUAAUAUUAAGAUUUACACUGAUGAGAAGGGUAACCAUAAAGGUGACGCCUGUCUGGCUUAUGAAGAUCCUAGUGCUGCACACUCUGCUGGCGGCUUUUUUAACAAUUACGAAAUGAGGGGAAGCAAGAUUAGUGUAACAAUGGCAGAGAAGUCUGCGCCCCGUGCUCCUACCUUUGACCAGAGAGGCGGUGGUAGAGGAGGUGGCGGUGGCUAUGGUGGUGGUGGGGGAGACAGAAGAAGAGAUAACUAUGGUUCAGGGCCAGACAGAAACCACCAUGGGGGAAACCGGUCUCGUCCAUAUUGAGAGAAAGAGGAACCAAUGAAUCAGCUGUUAUGUGUUCUAAGAGUUUUGUGUGUGUUGAGGGGGGAAUUUUAGUAAAAUGUUGCGUUGGUGUUGGGGGGAAAUGUUCUAUGAAUCAUCAUAUUGGAGAUACAAAAAAAAAAAAGGUAGGUUUUUGUUCACUUUGACCUUGAGCAAAAUUACCCCUUUUUUUCUCCCUACUUGUUCUGUUUCUUUGGGGAUCUAUAUUAUUAUCUAUGCAUGUUCGGUUUAUCCUUCUUUAUUUUGUCUUUUCACAAUGUGAAAUUUUUGUUUUUGUUUUAUUGAAGGAAAAGCUGAUAAUUAAGUGCAAAAUGCAUUGCAAAUUGGUGCUAUGAUGAUUUCAGCAACAUUUGUUCCACGAGAAAUGGCAGGAGUGGGGGAUUGCUAGGCACUUUUGUUUGAUAUAAAGUAUGCAGUGACAAUUCAAAAAGAUCAACUUGAUGAUUUUUAGUGCUAACUGACUCCCUGAGACUAUAUUUUACAAAUGAGUGGCCUUGUUUUCGACAAAAAAAGACAAGUUGAUAAAGCUCCAUCAUUCCCUCAAUCUGUAUCCCAAAGACUAAAGAGAAGAGCUCAUUAGAAUCUUGCAGUUGAUGUCUGAAUUGGAAUCUAGUAGACCCGGGGGGGAUAUGACCGUAGUUUAUAUAAGAGUUCUCUUCAAGUGUUUUUGAAGUGUGAUUCUCGUAAGUUUAACUUUGAAUUUGUAACCAUUCACUCGAGAAAGCUUUUUGUUUAUGCUCUUAAUCAUUAUUCGGAUUAAAGAUGUAUCUUCAAUGCUGAUUAGUUGUAGAGGUAUACUAUGGAUUUUUGAGUAGAUGCCGGAUUGGCUAAUCCUUAUUCCUU